rnacentral:tRNA from 1 species
UCUCGUAUGGUCUAAGAAAGAUAUUGGAUUGCAAUCCCAACGAUGCGGACGGUCACGCUGCGGGAU